rnacentral:rRNA from 1 species
GUGGGGAAUCUUAGACAAUGGGCGCAAGCCUGAUCUAGCCAUGCCGCGUGAGCGAUGAAGGCCUUAGGGUUGUAAAGCUCUUUCGUGGGGGAAGAUAAUGACUGUACCCCAAGAAGAAGCCCCGGCUAACUCCGUGCCAGCAGCCGCGGUAAUACGGAGGGGGCUAGCGUUGUUCGGAAUUACUGGGCGUAAAGCGCACGUAGGCGGAUUGGAAAGUCAGGGGUGAACUCCCGGGGCGCAACCCCGGAACUGCCUUUGAAACUCCCAGUCUUGAGUUCGUGAGAGGUGAGUGGAAUUCCGAGUGUAGAAGUGAAAUUCGUAGAUAUUCGGAGGAACACCAGUGGCGAAGGCGGCUCACUGGCACGAUACUGACGCUGAGGUGCGAAAGCGUGGGGAGCAAACAGGAUUAGAUACCCUAGUAGUCC